rnacentral:rRNA from 1 species
AUUCCAAUCGAACUCGGAGAUAGCUGGUUCUCCCCGAAAUAGCUUUAGGGCUAGCCUCAUGUUAGAUAUCCGGAGGUAAAGCACUGAAUGGCCUAGCGUCCGAGAGGAUAGCGAAGCCUAUCAAACUAAGAAUGCCGGAAUAUUGAUGCAUGGGAGUCAGACAGUGUGAGAUAAAUCUCAUUGUCAAAAGGGAAACAGCCCAGAUCUACAGCUAAGGUCCCAAAUUGUAUCUAAGUGGAAAACGAUGUGGAAAUACGCAGACAACCAGGAUGUUGGCUCAGAAGCAGCCACUCAUUUAAAGAGUGCGUAAUAGCUCACUGGUCGAGCGUCUCUGCGCGGAAAAUUUAACGGGGCUAAGAUACAAACCGAAGCUUAGGCUGCACUUUUAGUGCGGGGUAGGGGAGCGUUGUGUAAGCGGAGAAACAGUAGCGAAAGCGGCUGUGGAGUUUACAGAAGUGAGAAUGCCGGAAUGAGUAGCGCGAAUGAUGUGAGAAUCAUCAUGGCCGGAAACCUCAGGUUUUUGGAGGAAGGUUCGUCCGCUCCAAGUUAGGCGGGAGCUAAGGUGAGGCCGAAAGGCGUAGCCGAUGCACAGACGGUAGAGAUUCCGUCCCCACCGAAAGAUUUAAGCGCAGGGACACUUUUAGAAGGUCGGAGCCAGGUGUUGGUUCUGGUAGAGAUCGAGGGAAAUUUAGUACCGAAGUCCGGCUGGAUAAGAGGCGAGAAAAGCUGCGUGUAUAUCUAAGGUGCCCGUACCGCAAACCGACACAGGUAGGUAGGAAGAAGAUUCUAAGGCCAACGGGAGAAGGGUUGUUAAGGAACUCGGCAAGUUGACCCCGUAACUUCGGAAUAAGGGGUGCUCAUGAAAGUGAGCCGCAGAGAAUAGGCCCAGGCAACUGUUUACCAAAAACACAGGUUUGUGCUAAAUCGAAAGAUGACGUAUACGAGCUGACGCCUGCCCGGUGCUGGAAGGUUAAAAGGAGAUGUGCAAGCAUUGAAUUGAAGCCCCAGUGAACGGCGGCCGUAACUAUAACGGUCCUAAGGUAGCGAAAUUCCUUGUCAGGUAAGUUCUGACCCGCAUGAAAGGCGUAAUGAUCUGGGCACUGUCUCAACAGCCCGCCCGGCGAAAUUGUAGUACCGGUGAAGAUGCCGGUUACCCGCGACAAGACGGAAAGACCCCAUGGAGCUUUACUGUAGCCUAAUAUUGGGUUUCGGUGUUGCAUGCACAGGAUAGAUGGGACGCUGGGAAGUGAGUGCUUUGGCAUUCAUGGAGCGGCCGUUGGGAUACCAUCCUUGCGACAUUGGAAUUCUAACCUGCGCCUCUGAAUCGAGGCGGGGGACAUUGUCAGGUGGGCAGUUUGACUGGGGCGGUCGCCUCCUAAAAAGUAGCGGAGGCGUUCAAAGGUUCGUUCGAUCUGGACGGAAACCAGAUGAUUGAGUGCAAACGCAUAAACGAGCCUGACUGCGAGACUGACGGGUCGAGCAGAGACGAAAGUCGGAGUUAGUGAUCCGGUGGUAUGUGAGUGGAAAUGCCAUCGCUCAACGGAUAAAAGUUACCCUGGGGAUAACAGGCUGAUCUCCCCCAAGAGUCCACAUCGACGGGGAGGUUUGGCACCUCGAUGUCGGCUCAUCGCAUCCUGGGGCUGAAUUCGGUCCCAAGGGUUUGGCUGUUCGCCAAUUAAAGCGGUACGCGAGCUGGGUUCAGAACGUCGUGAGACAGUUCGGUCCCUAUCUGUCGUGGGCGCAGGAUAUUUGAAAGGCGCUGUCCCUAGUACGAGAGGACCGGGAUGGACGAACCUCUGGUGCACCAGUUGUCACGCCAGUGGCACAGCUGGGCAGCUAUGUUCGGAUCGGAUAAACGCUGAAAGCAUCUAAGCGUGAAGCCGGCCUUAAGAUAAGAUAUCCCACUGAGUCAAUCAGGUAAGACCCCUUGAAGACUACAAGGUUGAUAGGCACACAGUGUAAGCGGAGUGAUCCGUUCAGCUAGCGUGUACUAAUAGGUCGAGGGCUUGACCC